rnacentral:rRNA from 1 species
CCUACGGGAGGCAGCAGUAGGGAAUAUUGGGCAAUGGAGGCAACUCUGACCCAGCCAUGCCGCGUGCAGGAUGAAGGCGUUAUGCGUUGUAAACUGCUUUUAUAUAGGAAGAAAGAGUUCUUGCGAGAACAGUUGACGGUACUAUAUGAAUAAGCACCGGCUAACUCCGUGCCAGCAGCCGCGGUAAUACGGAGGGUGCAAGCGUUGUCCGGAUUUAUGGGUUUAAAGGGUGCGUAGGCGGUUUAUAAGUCAGUGGUGAAGACGGUCGCUCAACGAUUGCAGUGCCAUUGAUACUGGUAGACUUGAGUGAGAUUGAGGUAGCUGGAAUGGAUAGUGUAGCGGCGAAAUGCAUAGAUAUUAUCCAGAACACCAAUUGCGUAGGCAAGUUACUAAGUCUUAACUGACGCUGAGGCACGAAAGUGUGGGUAUCAAACAGGAUUAGAUACCCUGGUAGUCCACACUGUAAACGAUGAUAACUAACUGUUGGCUUUCGGGGUNAGUGUACAGAGAAUUACGUUAAGUUAUCCACCGUGGGUAGGUACGCCGGCGAACGGUAGAACGUAAAGUAGUAGUUAGAGGCGUGAGACGUAGACGACGGACGACGACGAGGGAGGAGG